rnacentral:rRNA from 1 species
ACAAACGAUUAAACAAAUAAGAAUGUACCAGUUCCCAAUGGGUCACUGAAGUUAAUCAACGACUCUUGUGGUUGGUAUUCGGAUGGGUGACCAUCUGGGCAAAUGCUUACUGUUGGCU